UGCCUCAGUAACGGCGAGUGAAGCGGCAAAAGCUCAAAUUUGAAACCCUCGGGAUUGUAAUUUGAAGAUUUGGCAUUGGAGAAAGCUAACCCAAGUUGCUUGGAAUAGUACGUCAUAGAGGGUGACAACCCCGUCUGGCUAACCGUUCUCCAUGUAUUGCCUUAUCAAAGAGUCGAGUUGUUUGGGAAUGCAGCUCAAAGUGGGUGGUAAACUCCAUCUAAAGCUAAAUACUGGUGAGAGACCGAUAGCGAACAAGUACUGUGAAGGAAAGGUGAAAAGAACUUUGAAAAGAGAGUGAAAUAGUAUGUGAAAUUGUUGAUAGGGAAGGAAAUGAGUGGAGAGUGGCCGAGGUUUCAGCCGCCCCUCGUGGGCGGUGUACUGCCGACGCCGAGUCAUCGAUAGCGAGACGAGGGUUACAAAUGGGAGCGCCUUUCGGGCGUUCUCCCCUAACCCUCCACACUGCCACCGACGACAUAAUCCACCCAUUUCACCCG
rnacentral:rRNA from 1 species